rnacentral:misc_RNA from 1 species
GUUGGGGCUCCCGCUCCUGGCUCUUCAUCCGCCGACUGAGUCUCUCUUGUAUGAACGCGAAAACUCUAUCAUGCCAUUGUGGAUCCUCAAUUCAUUGCUUAUCAUCGGGUAUGUCUUGGUCUAGAAGAAAGGGGAGUAUAGUAUAGUUUGUGUUUCCCACUCAAAGGGGAGGGGCCUGGGAUUCAAUAGAGUAUAGGUUCGAGAUCUGAUCUUGGAAAAAAGAAAAGA